rnacentral:rRNA from 1 species
AACGAACGCUGGCGGCAGGCUUAACACAUGCAAGUCGAACGCAUCGCAAGAUGAGUGGCAGACGGGUGAGUAACGCGUGGGAACAUACCCUUUUCUACGGAAUAGCUCUGGGAAACUGGAAUUAAUACCGUAUACGCCCUACGGGGGAAGGAUUUAUCGGGGAAGGAUUGGCCCGCGUUGGAUUAGCUAGUUGGUGGGGUAAAGGCCUACCAAGGCGACGAUCCAUAGCUGGUCUGAGAGGAUGAUCAGCCACAUUGGGACUGAGACACGGCCCAAACUCCUACGGGAGGCAGCAGUGGGGAAUAUUGGACAAUGGGCGCAAGCCUGGUCCAGCCAUGCCGCGUGAGUGAUGAAGGCCUUAGGGUUGUAAAGCUCUUUCACCGAUGAAGAUAAUGACGGUAGUCGGAGAAGAAGCCCCGGCUAACUUCGUGCCAGCCGCCGCGGUAACAC